UACGAAGGGGGCUAGCGUUGUUCGGAAUUACUGGGCGUAAAGCGCACGUAGGCGGAUAUUUAAGUCAGGGGUGAAAUCCCGGGGCUCAACCCCGGAACUGCCUUUGAUACUGGGUAUCUCGAGUCCGAGAGAGGUGAGUGGAAUUCCGAGUGUAGAGGUGAAAUGCGUAGAGAUCAGGAGGAACACCCAUGGCGAAGGCAGCUCUCUGGUCGACCUCUGACGCUGAGACGCGAAAGCGUGGGGAGCGAACAGG
rnacentral:rRNA from 1 species